UCCCGGGUGGGUACGGAUGCGUUUCCAGGUGCUUGGGCCGCUUGAAGCGUUUGACGUGGACGGCCGGUCGAUCGCGCUCGGCCCCCGGCGUC
rnacentral:tRNA from 1 species